CGGGCAGAAAAUGCAGAAACAACAGCCAUCAGCAAGCCAAGAAGAUAAACACUUCCUGAACUCUGAUUGGCUGAGGCCGGUUGACCAAUCAUUUCAGGAAGAAGGAAAACAGCUUUGGCUUUGGCAUCGCAAUACAAGCUUGGCUAGCCUUCGCAUAAGCCAACUGGAAAGAAGGAAUGACUGGGGCCUGAAAGGUGCACAUAAUUAUGUAUGUAGUACAACACUCCUAGAAACGCAGUCCAGAUUGAUCUCUUUAAAAUAAUGUUUUUUCCUGGAAUCAGAUUUCUUCUUUAGUCUUUACUUUUAUGAAUUUCCUUUCUUGAAUUUUGUACUGUGGCAAUGAACUGAAAUCAAAAUAUACUCGCUAAACUUCGUUUCUAUCUCUCUUGAAAUCUCACUGCAAUUGCUCAAGUGAAACUUUUUCUUGAAUCUCAACACAACCUGUUAGAUCUAAUUUUGCUGAGAAAGCUGAGAAUCUCUGGCAAUUAUUUUCAGCA